UACGUGGGGAGCAAGCGUUGUCCGGAAUCAUUGGGCGUAAAGCGCGCGUAGGUGGCUUCGUAAGUCCGCUGUGAAAGUCAAAGGCUCAACCUUUGAAAGCCGGUGGAUACUGCGGAGCUAGAGUCCGGAAGAGGCGAGUGGAAUUCCUGGUGUAGCGGUGGAAUGCGCAGAUAUCAGGAGGAACACCAAUAGCGAAGGCAGCUCGCUGGGAC
rnacentral:rRNA from 1 species